rnacentral:rRNA from 1 species
AUUCAGCGGCGGACGGGUGAGUAAUGCCUAGGAAUCUGCCCGAUAGUUGGGGGACAACGUUUCGAAAGGAGCGCUAAUACCGCAUACGUCCUACGGGAGAAAGUGGGGGAUCUUCGGACCUCACGCUAUCGGAUGAGCCUAGGUCGGAUUAGCUAGUUGGUGAGGUAAUGGCUCACCAAGGCGACGAUCCGUAACUGGUCUGAGAGGAUGAUCAGUCACACUGGAACUGAGACACGGUCCAGACUCCUACGGGAGGCAGCAGUGGGGAAUAUUGGACAAUGGGCGAAAGCCUGAUCCAGCCAUGCCGCGUGUGUGAAGAAGGUCUUCGGAUUGUAAAGCACUUUAAGUUGGGAGGAAGGGCUGUCGGCUAAUACCCUGCAGUUUUGACGUUACCAACAGAAUAAGCACCGGCUAACUUCGUGCCAGCAGCCGCGGUAAUACGAAGGGUGCAAGCGUUAAUCGGAAUUACUGGGCGUAAAGCGCGCGUAGGUGGUUCAGCAAGUUGGAUGUGAAAGCCCCGGGCUCAACCUGGGAACUGCAUCCAAAACUACUGAGCUAGAGUACGGUAGAGGGUGGUGGAAUUUCCUGUGUAGCGGUGAAAUGCGUAGAUAUAGGAAGGAACACCAGUGGCGAAGGCGACCACCUGGACUGAUACUGACACUGAGGUGCGAAAGCGUGGGGAGCAAACAGGAUUAGAUACCCUGGUAGUCCACGCCGUAAACGAUGUCAACUAGCUGUUGGGUUCCUUGAGAACUUAGUAGCGAAGCUAACGCGAUAAGUUGACCGCCUGGGGAGUACGGCCGCAA